GGUCCCCUGAUCGGCAACAACGUGUCUAUGAUACUGGGUAUUCUCGUCACCGUCGCCUUCCUCUCGGGUCUUGUACAGAUAAUUCUCUCCGGAAAACAGCUGCAGUUAGAUUUACCCCUUAGUCUUGUUUGCCCUGUACAUGGACUUGUUGUGGGAUAGGACUGUGUCUGGUGUCAGCUACUAUCCUCUGGGUACGUUACAGCCUGAGGGAUGACACGUUGUACAGGGGGUGUAUCGGAACAUCUGGUGUUGUCACCAGUGUCAUCGGCUUGACGAUUUGUUCCUGCUGUCAGUUACAACGAGCCGUAGUCUGGUGUCGAGAGAG